ACCAUGCUACCAGCCUGCCGUUUUCUAAUCAAAGUGACCUUUUUCAGCCUUGUAAUGUUCUGAUCUCCUAGAUGCCAGUGGACAUGGACAGCGGGGAGAAAAGGGCUUUUUUAAAACCAAAGACUCUGUUAAUACCCACAGUUACUCAUGUGGGAGGAAAUGAGAAAAUAAACCUCCGAUUUAAAUGUAUCUUCCUGUGCUAGCUUGGGGAUGUGUAACCAGUAUCUCAAAGAUUCAAUGAUGUGAUCAUUUGCAAAUCACAAUGACCAGCAGUGGUUUUUUGACUGAGGCUGCUCUAAAGUGAGCAAAAUUCAGGCCUACAGCGGGGACUAUAUGGCAAACCUUGCAACAUAGACUCUAUGCUGACAGAGUGGCAGGCAGUCAGGCACCCACUUCCUUCUGCUACUGCCUUCCUCUGGUCACACCUUCUUUGUAACAUUGCGGUUCUCUUUACAAGAAAUUGUUACCAAAGACGAGGACAAAAACGAUCACAUGCCCUGAGCAGCUGAUCUCCGUUUCCUGUAUCUGCAUGUAAGCCAAAAUACUGCCUUAUACAGAAACAGUGAGAUGAGGCCCCAGCAAACCAGUUCAAGGACUGAGGGCUUUGUCUUCAGACUGAACAUAAAGCUGACAGGAACAGAGUCAAAACUUUGGCUGGAGUUCAAGCUGACCUCGUUGCUCCGUGCAAAUAUUUGCCACUAGAUGGCGAUGGAGACCAUUACACAGACUGGAUUGGAUACUGUAAAGCCCUGAGGGUCCUGUACAGUAAAGAGAGCCCUUGUGGAAGAAUUUACUGUGAGGCUUUUGCUUUUAAUGCACCUUUUGAUGACGACAGAGUCCAAAGUGGAGACUGGACAAAAGAUUGAGUGAAAUGUAAACAGCGCCUGUGUUUAGUAUGUGAUGUUUUGAGCUCAGUGACUAAAAUGAACAUAUUUGAAUAAAUGAAUACCUUAAAGCAA